rnacentral:misc_RNA from 1 species
UCAAACUUGGUCAUUUAGAGGAAGUAAAAGUCGUAACAAGGUUUCCGUAGGUGAACCUUCGGAAGGAUCAUUAACGUGACGUUUGUAGGAGCCCGACGGGGGCGGCAUCGAGUUGCCUCUGCCCCCCCAUCGGGCUCACUGUAACGCCCAACCCUUGAUUUUGAGCACCUUCUUGUUUCCUCGGCGGGGACGCCCGCCAGCGAGGACCCCCCAUCAACCUCUUGCAGUUAGCAGUACUUGUCUGAAAUACAAACCAAAAACAAUCAAAACUUUCAACAAUGGAUCUCUUGGUUCUGGCAUCGAUGAAGAACGCAGC